rnacentral:rRNA from 1 species
CCUACGGGAGGCAGCAGUAGGGAAUCUUCCACAAUGGGCGAAAGCCUGAUGGAGCAACGCCGCGUGGGUGAAGAAGGUCUUCGGAUCGUAAAACCCUGUUGUUAGAGAAGAAAGUGCGUGAGAGUAACUGUUCACGUUUCGACGGUAUCUAACCAGAAAGCCACGGCUAACUACGUGCCAGCAGCCGCGGUAAUACGUAGGUGGCAAGCGUUAUCCGGAGUUAUUGGGCGUAAAGGGAACGCAGGCGGUCUUUUAAGUCUGAUGUGAAAGCCUUCGGCUUAACCGGAGUAGUGCAUUGGAAACUGGGAGACGUGAGUGCAGCAGAGGAGAGUGGAACUCCAUGUGUAGCAGUGAAAUGCGUAGAUAGAUGGAAGAACACCAGUGGCGAAAGCGGCUCUCUGGUCUGUAACUGACGCUGAGGUUCGAAAGCGUGGGUAGCAAACAGGAUGAGAUACCCGAGUAGUC